UACGAGGGGUGCAAGCGUUAUUCGGAUUUACUGGGCGUAAAGGGUGUGUAGGCGGUUUUUUAAGUCAGUUGUUAAAUACCUUGGCCUAACCAAGGAAAUGCGAUUGAAACUAGAAAACUAGAGGAUGGAAGAGAGAAGUGGAAUUCUUGGAGUAGCGGUAAAAUGCGUAGAUCUCAAGAGGAACACCGAUGGCGAAGGCAGCUUCUUGGUCCAUAUCUGACGCUGAAACACGAAAGCGUGGGGAGCAAACAGG
rnacentral:rRNA from 1 species